rnacentral:lncRNA from 1 species
GUCUCUGUCUAAAGACAUGCCCAAAGUCGUGGGUACAUUUCUUCAUCGAACAAGCAGCAUAGUCUCUGUCUAAAGACUGCUCAAAGCCUUGGGUACUUUCCUUCAUUCAAUAACCAACAUAGUCUCUGUCUAAAGACAUGCUCAAAGCCGUGGGUACUUUUCUUCAUCCAACAAGCCAUAUAGUCUCUGUCUAAGACAAGCUUUAAGCCAUGGGUAUACAUUUCUUCAUCCAAC